AGUAGGCCUCAAGUGAUGUGUGACUACCCCCUAAAUU
rnacentral:rRNA from 1 species